AAGUGAAACUGAAGUGAAGAUUGACUGAGCAGGGAGAAUUUAUAGUAAAAAAAAAGGACUUAAAUAUUGAUCUGUUUCUCACCCACAUCUAUCAUAUCGCUUCAGAAGACAUUGAUUUUACCACUGGAGUCAUCUGGACAGAUGAAAGAAAGUCAUAAACAUCUGGAAUGGCAUGAGGAGGAUACCGGGCACCUUCCCCACAUGUCUUACCACCAUGCGCAGCCGAUUGUUUCCCGUCAGGACUUUUACCGCACUACUCAUGGUGAUGCUCUCCAGGCUAAUGCUGUUGACCUUUACAAGCUUAUCCCCAACAC